rnacentral:rRNA from 1 species
GACGAACGCUGGCGGCGUGCUUAACACAUGCAAGUCGAACGGAAAGGCCCUGCUUUUGUGGGGUGCUCGAGUGGCGAACGGGUGAGUAACACGUGAGUAACCUGCCCUUGACUUUGGGAUAACUUCAGGAAACUGGGGCUAAUACCGGAUAGGAGCUCCUGCUGCAUGGUGGGGGUUGGAAAGUUUCGGCGGUUGGGGAUGGACUCGCGGCUUAUCAGCUUGUUGGUGGGGUAGUGGCUUACCAAGGCUUUGACGGGUAGCCGGCCUGAGAGGGUGUCCGGCCACAUUGGGACUGAGAUACGGCCCAGACUCCUACGGGAGGCAGCAGUGGGGAAUAUUGCACAAUGGGCGGAAGCCUGAUGCAGCAACGCCGCGUGCGGGAUGACGGCCUUCGGGUUGUAAACCGCUUUCGCCUGUGACGAAGCGUGAGUGACGGUAAUGGGUAAAGAAGCACCGGCUAACUACGUGCCAGCAGCCGCGGUGAUACGUAGGGUGCGAGCGUUGUCCGGAUUUAUUGGGCGUAAAGGGCUCGUAGGUGGUUGAUCGCGUCGGAAGUGUAAUCUUGGGGCUUAACCCCUGAGCGUGCUUUCAAUACGGGUUGACUUGAGGAAGGUAGGGGAGAAUGGAAUUCCUGGUGGAGCGGUGGAAUGCGCAAAUAUCAGGAGGAACACCAGUGGCGAAGGCGGUUCUCUGGGCCUUUCCUGACGCUGAGGAGCGAAAGCGUGGGGAGCGAACAGGCUUAGAUACCCUGGUAGUCCACGCUGUAAACGGUGGGUACUAGGUGUGGGGUCCAUUCCACGGGUUCCGUGCCGUAGCUAACGCUUUAAGUACCCCGCCUGGGGAGUACGGCCGCAAGGCUAAAACUCAAAGGAAUUGACGGGGCCCCGCACAAGCGGCGGAGCAUGCGGAUUAAUUCGAUGCAACGCGUAGAACCUUACCUGGGUUUGACAUGGAUCGGGAGUGCUCAGAGAUGGGUGUGCCUCUUUUGGGGUCGGUUCACAGGUGGUGCAUGGCUGUCGUCAGCUCGUGUCGUGAGAUGUUGGGUUAAGUCCCGCAACGAGCGCAACCCUUGUUCACUGUUGCCAGCACGUUAUGGUGGGGACUCAGUGGAGACCGCCGGGGUCAACUCGGAGGAAGGUGGGGAUGACGUCAAGUCAUCAUGCCCCUUAUGUCCAGGGCUUCACGCAUGCUACAAUGGCUGGUACAGAGAGUGGCGAGCCUGUGAGGGUGAGCGAAUCUCGGAAAGCCGGUCUCAGUUCGGAUUGGGGUCUGCAACUCGACCUCAUGAAGUCGGAGUCGCUAGUAAUCGCAGAUCAGCAACGCUGCGGUGAAUACGUUCCCGGGGCU